GGGGGCUGGGGUCGAAGGGCGCGUUUCACAACACGGCCCGCGUGUUUCGCGUCGGCCCCACGCCUGCCCCUCAGUUCGCCAUUCAGCUGGACUCUUCGAUGGCCGCGCCUCCUGGUCAGUGUGUGUAGAGAGGCGCUGGCGCUAGUACAGUAGCAGAGUCCGAGUCCAGCGACCGCUGCACAACAGGAGAACGCGUCACCCGCCGCGGGUGCUAUGCUGCCGAAUCCGAAGCAUACCAGCUGCACUCUACGCUUAAGGCAAACGGGAUCCGACCAAUCUCCCACGAACGAGGUGAGAGCAGGAUGAGGAGGAGGAG